UUUGUUCGCCCAGACCGAUUUGCCAAGGGAAAACCCUCCCGUUAUCUUUUUCCCCACUUUCAACUCCGGCGAUGCUCCUCCUCUACUGCCGCCCCUUCCCCUCUCCCUGCCCUCCACUCCGCCGCCUCCUACGAUGCCGCUGCACCUAUUCUUCCGCCUCCUCCUCCAUUGCUCCGUAUCACCAAUCCUUCGCCCGUCGCAUGGCCCUCGCAGGCAUCUACCCCCACCACCGCAUUGCGGUUGGGGUCUCCGGUGGGCCGGACUCCAUGGCGCUGUGCGUGCUCGCGGCGGCUUGGAAGAAGGCGGCGGAGUGCGGGUCUGGGAGGAAGUCCGAGGGAUUCGUGGAGGGGCUCCUGGGGGUCGUGGUCGACCAUGGGUUGCGGCUCGAGAGCGCCGACGAGGCACAUCUAGUGCGCGACCGGGUGCACGGCAUGGGUGUUAUGUGCGAAAUUGCUAGAUGUGAGUGGCCUAAUGGGCGGCCAAAGCUAGGGCAUCUGCAAGAGGCAGCCCGUGAAAUGAGGUACCAAAAACUGUUGGACAUUUGUAUAAAGCAGCAAAUAGGAGUGUUGCUUAUCGCACACCACUCUGAUGACCAGGCAGAGCUCUUUGUUCUGAGAUUAUCUCGCAACAGCAGGGUUCUAGGGCUUGCUGGUACAGCUUUUGUGUCCCAAUUGUUUGCACCUAAUUUAAAAUAUGAUGGACAUAAUUUUUGUCGUUAUGGCAUCCUUCUUGUUCGGCCCAUGCUUGACUUUUCAAAAGAUGACAUGUAUAAGAUAUGUCAAGGAAGUAAUCAUUUGUGGGUUGAAGAUCCAACAAAUAAUAGUAUGCAGUAUGCCAGGAACCGCAUUCGAGCAUCUUUGAGAUGUUUAUCCACAGAAGGUACCUUUCUGUCAGAACUUAAGAAGCUUAUAUACGCAUGCCGGUUGACACGAGCGUGUGUCGACAAUGCCUGCAGUAUGGCUGUCAAGCAGUCUAUCACAAUAACGGAGUAUGGGUAUGCUGUCAUUGACCUGGAAAAACUUGACGCACAAAAUGUUGAUGAUCUUUCUCUUUCACAAUAUUUAGCUUGUGUAUUACAGUUUGUUUCACAAAGGCACAGGCCAAUCCGUGGCAGAUCUGCUCGAUUGUUCAUGGACUACAUCCGUAAUACACCUUGCAAGGGUGCCCUUACUGUAGCUGGCUGUUACCUUUGUGCUUUUCCGAAGUCUAAAGGUACAAAAGUACUAGUCUGUUCCUCUGUUGACUCAAUGGAGUCAUUUUCUGUUGAGAUGUCCUACAAGUGUUCCUAUGAAGAACAGCCUUCACCAGUAGCUGAGAUUGAUCAGAUAGCACGUGAAGCACGCUUACACUCCAACCAAUUUCUACAGUGCUCAAGCAUGCCUUUUGUGAAUUAUAGUUCUUCUACUGAUGUUCUGAAUAGAGCAAAGGAUCAUAAUAUAAUAGGCGAUUUUGUGUUAGAAAAACUCCUUUACCUGCAAACGGAAGAGCAUCAGAAAUUUAGUGCAACAAAACAUAAAAGUGAAGAACAAUACUUGGAGAAAACAAACUUUCCUGAUGUGAAAGUUCUUUUUCUCUGGCCUGGUGAAACAUGUCACUUUAUGAGCAAGUUUUUGAUUACAUGGAAUGCUUUGGAGGUUGUUUCAAAUGGAAUAUGCUCACAAGACAGUAAAAACCUCCUAUGCCAGCAUUGUACAGUGAAUCAGGACGGAAGUCUUGCAGUUCGUCACAUGUUUGAUACUGAUUGGUUGUUCCUUGCUGAAGUUUCUAAAAUCCGCUCAGUGGAAGAGAAUCAGAAUAUCUCGAAAGUUUUCAUUAAGAAAUUGGAGGAUGAUGGACUCCUGAAGCACUCUAGAUAUUUACAGUUAUCAGCAAUGAAAGCUCUUGAGGUCCUGAAAUCUAUUCCAGCUUCUGCAAGACGAACACUGCCAGUACUGACCAAUUCUCAAGAGUAUUGGCUUCAAAUAUUGCCCAAGCCUGCCCAUCAAAGCAUUAUUCCAUCCAAGAGUACCACUUGGUGGGGGAUACACUUCAUAUUUAUGAUGGCUCGAACUUUACUUUUGGCAAGAAAGAGGCAAAAUAUCAAGAACAUUGAGAUAUGAUCAACUGCCAGUUUUCAGAAAUACUAUUGGUGCUGAAUUACUACUGUCUGAACUUUGGCAACUCGGCAUGCUAAAUGAAUAAUUGCACGCCACAGUAUUGUGCAGACCGAUGUGGAACUUGGACUGCUGUAGAGCAUAUGCCUGUUCAUAUUGCAGAGGAAGACCAUCUUUUGGCUCAAUAGCUGUAACUUAUGAACUAGUUGCAUUGAGAUUCAAGGUGUGCAAGAGCUACAAACACAUGCUGACAAGCUUGAAAUUAGAAUGGGAAUUGCACUAAAUGAUAAUAUCCAGUUGCGGUGAUGAAUCACUACAUCAAUUUCAGGGGAUUUUUGUUCAGACGCUUACUGAGCACUAGGGUGACAACUGACAAAGAUUGUAGUCUGAUGGUCGGUUCGUGAAUGCGAUCCAGGUUGCUAUGGGGCAAUAGCAACUUCAGCUCUAACCUUUGUGGGCUUGUGUGUCAAGAACCAGCUAACCUGACAGUAAUUGAGGAACGGCAGAACACUCAAGAACACACGAAUGUGAGGCAAAAUAAGCUAGAGAUUGCUUGCAUAGCAGGGAAAGUGGUUCAGCUCGUCACAGGCGGCUAGGGUUUACACCCGGUACAUAAUAAGCAUAGCCACAAAGAAGGGGAAAGUGCUGGCUUUAUAGCCAUUACAGGUAAAGUAAAAACAGAGACAGACACGCACAGGGGCAGUGUCGGACAUUGAACAGCUUCCUUCGGAGGGCAGUCGCUUCUUUAGUUAUAUCUGCAGCCUGACGAUACCCCCCGAGUGAGACCGAGCUUGUCCUCUAGCUUGAAAUGCAGGAAAUACUUUCUGGAUGAAGGCUGCAUCUUUUCAUGUCGCAUUCUCUGUCGCUACAUUUAUCCAUUUCACCAACCGCACCACAGGGAUGCUAACAUCGCCUUAGGGUCGAGGAAUCAACUUCCUAUCGAGCACAUCUUCUGGCUCCCUUUUUAUGGUGUCAUCGACAUUCACCAACGGUAACUGAGGGGAUGGAACAACAGUUUGGUCAAUAUGUUUCUUCAGUUGACUGACAUGAAAUGUGUGAUGGAGUUGGCACCCUUCUGGCAACAACAACUUGUAUGCAUGUUUCCCAGUCUUUUCCAACACCCUGAAUGGACCAUAGUACUUGGAAUACAACUUAAGGUGCCUGUGUAAAAUAAGAGAUGUGUGUCCGUAUGGCUGUAACUUUAAAUACACCAUAUCUCCCAUUUGGAACUCUCUCUCCUUCCUCUUUUGACAGCAUAUAGUUUCAUCCUA